AGUGGAAUAGCUGGGUCAAAUGGUGAUUCCAUUCCAAUUUCUGAGGAAUCUUCAUUACUACUUUCCAUAAUGGUUGUACCAAUUUGCCAUCCCAUCAGCAAU
rnacentral:pre_miRNA from 1 species